GAGUUUGAUCCUGGCUCAGGACGAACGCUGGCGGCGUGCUUAACACAUGCAAGUCGAACGAAAAGAGGGAAAGAGCUUGCUCUUUCCGGAAUUGAGUGGCAAACGGGUGAGUAACACGUAAACAACCUGCCUUCAGGAUGGGGACAACAGACGGAAACGACUGCUAAUACCGAAUAAGUUCCAAGAGCCGCAUGGCCCAUGGAAGAAAAGGUGGCCUCUACCUGUAAGCUAUCGCCUGAAGAGGGGUUUGCGUCUGAUUAGCUGGUUGGAGGGGUAACAGCCCAUCAAGGCGACGAUCGGUAGCCGGACUGAGAGGUUGAACGGCCACAUUGGGACUGAGACACGGCCCAGACUCCUACGGGAGGCAGCAGUGGGGAAUAUUGCACAAUGGGGGAAACCCUGAUGCAGCGACGCCGCGUGGAGGAAGAAGGUCUUCGGAUUGUAAACUCCUGUUGUUGAGGAAGAUAAUGACGGUACUCAACAAGGAAGUGACGGCUAACUACGUGCCAGCCGCCGCGGUAAUUC
rnacentral:rRNA from 1 species